rnacentral:rRNA from 1 species
AACCUGGUUGAUCUUGCCAGUAGUCAUAUGCUUGUCUCAAAGAUUAAGCCAUGCAAGUGAAAGUAUAUGCAUAUUUUAUAUGUAGAAACUGCGAACGGCUCAUUAAAACAGUUAUAAUCUACUUGACAUUUUAUUAUAAGGAUAACUACGGAAAAGCUGUAGCUAAUACUUGCUUUAAUUGCUUUUACUCCCCGAGUAUUUGCAUGUAUUUGUUAAGCCUUAUAAGAAAAUUUUUUAAUUAAAGGAAUUAUAACAAAGAAGUAACACAUAAUAUAUUUACUAUAUUUAGUGUGUAUCAAUCGAGUUUCUGACCUAUCAGCUUUUGAUGUUAGGGUAUUGGCCUAACAUGGCUAUGACGGGUAACGGGGAAUUAGAGUUCGAUUCCGGAGAGGGAGCCUGAGAAAUAGCUACCACAUCUAAGGAAGGCAGCAGGCGCGUAAAUUACCCAAUUCUAAAUAAGAGAGGUAGUGACAAGAAAUAACAAUAUAAGGCCAAAUUUUGGUUUUAUAAUUGGAAUGAUGGGAAUUUAAAACCUUCCCAAAAAUCAAUUGGAGGGCAAGUCUGGUGCCAGCAGCCGCGGUAAUUCCAGCUCCAAUAGCGUAUAUUAAAAUUGUUGCAGUUAAAACGCUCGUAGUUGAACUUCAAGGGUAUCAUUAUUUUUAGCAACUCACUUGGCUAGAUCUUGGCUCUGCCUCGCUAUCUCAUGCCUCGUUGCAGUUCUUUUAAUUACCGGCCCUUUGAGAUCCCUUUGAUCAUUCACUGGGUUCUCGUUACUUUGAGUAAAUUAGAGUGUUCAAAGCAAACAUUUAAAGCGUUUUCGCGUUUGAAUACUAUAGCAUGGAAUAACAAAAUUGAACAAGUCAAAUUUGUUCUUUUUUCUUAUUUUGGCUUAGUUACGAUUAAUAGGAGUAGCUUGGGGGCAUUUGUAUUCAGAUGUCAGAGGUGAAAUUCUUAGAUUUUCUGGAGACAAACAACUGCGAAAGCAUUUGCCUAAAAUACUUCCAUUAAUCAAGAACGAAAGUUAAGGGAGUGAAGACGAUCAGAUACCGUCGUAAUCUUAACCAUAAACUAUGCCGACUAGGUUUUGGAUGAAAAUUUUUAAAUAAGGUUUCCCUCCGGGGAUUCCUUAGAUUGCUUCCUUCAGUACCUUAUGAGAAAUCAAAGUCUUUGGGUUCUGGGGCGAGUAUUCGCGCAAGCGAGAAAGUUAAAAGAAUUGACGGAAGGGCACCACCAGGCGUGGAGCUUGCGGCUUAAUUUGACUCAACACGGGGAAACUCACUAGUUUAAGACAAGAGUAGGAUUGACAGAUUAAUAGCUCUUUCUUGAUUUCUUGGAUGGUGAUGCAUGGCCGUUUUUAGUUCGUGAAUAUGAUUUGUCUGGUUAAUUCCGAUAACGAACGAGAUCUUAACCUGCUAAUUAGCGGCGAGUACGCUAUAUCCUCUAUCGGGAGUUUGGUUUUGACGUUUAUGCGAACUAUGCUUAAUCAAUUGGUUU